CGUAAGUGUUGAACCGAAAUUCAAAGCAAAUCGUAUUUACGAUGUAAAUACUAGGUUAAGCUACAAAGAGCACACGGAGGAUGCCUAGGCGCCAGGAGCCGACGAAGGACGUGGCGAACAACGAUAAGGCCUCGGGGAGCUGUAAGCAAGCUUUGAUCCGGGGAUGUCCGAAUGGGGGUAGCUAUGUACGGAAGGGAUAAGCGCUGAAAGCAUCUAAGCGUGAAGCCCCCCUCAAGAUGAGAUUUCCCAAUUAGUAAGACCCCUUGAAGACGACGAGGUAGAUAGGUUGGGGGUGGAAGUGCAGCAAUGCAUGGAGCUGACCAAUACUAAUCGGUCGAGGGCUUAUCCUA
rnacentral:rRNA from 1 species